GAUGAAGAACGUAGCGAAACGCGAUAGUUAAUGUGAAUUGCAGAAUUCAGUGAAUCAUCGAAUCUUUGAACGCACAUUGCGCCCCUUGGUAUUCCGAGGGGCAUGCCUGUUCGAGCGUCAUUAUAACCCCUCAAGCUCAGCUUGGUGUUGGGGCCUGCUGCACUGGCAGCCCUUAAAAUCAGUGGCGGCGCCAUCUGGCUCUAAGCGUAGUAAUUCUUCUCGCUAUGGAGUCCUGGUGGAUGCUUGCCAUCAACCCCCAAUUUUUCUAUGGUUGACCUCGGAUCAGGUAGGGAUACCCGCUGAACUUAAGCAUAUCAAUAAGCGGAGGA
rnacentral:misc_RNA from 1 species